AUCAAAAAAAGAAACGUUGUUGAGGCGGUCGAGAAACCCUGAAUCUAGCUAAUCCUGCCUUUCUUGUUGAGGCGGUUGAGAAUCCUCUUAUCUAUUUUCCUUAAAAUCAUACGCGUAUCUGAUUACAAAGGUAAAUCCCAGACCGUUCUUCCAGUGGGGCUUUUGAGCUCUGAAUCCUCACAUUGGUUCUCUUACGCCUGUCUAGGGUUUACGAUGACUGGUGCGUGGCUGCGCGAAGAGAACGAACAUUGACCUGAUUUUUUUUCAUGCAGCCGAUGCGAUUCGAGCCGAUGAUACGAAUGUUGCCAAUCUAUGUUUACAUAGGUAUACGGAAUCACAUAGUUCUGGUGAAAUUAAAGGGAUGGAGAAGGAACGAGUCAGGAAAAGACAUGGGCUUGUGUGGGACGUGGCACCUACAGAACCAGAGGUUGGUUCGAUUACAGUUGGGGUUUUUUGACAGCGAAGGGAUUGGCAAGAGAAAAAGAGAGCAUCGGAUUGAUUUAUGGGUAUAUGAAACUUUGAAUUGUGAUACUACGGGUUUUGAUGAUCUGACCUAGAUGGUCAGGGUUGGAGGCGCAACGAGCUCUGGUUCUUCGGAACGGCAUGUAUGCCGCCGAGAAAGUAUGAUGAUUGCGAUCUCAUUCACGUCUUCGCUCUUGGCGAAAAUCUCACAUCUCGAUGUGAGUAUCUGUCCCUUCCUUCCUCGGUCUUUCUAUCUUGUGGAACUUGAUUGUUGUCUUCAUAUAUAUGUGUUCUCCAUCAUCGAUUCACAAGAUCUUGGGGUUUCAACCAAUUAGAUAAUUUUUGUAGAACAUUGUAUUCAUGUUGGUUAUUUUUUUGGCCCAAUAAACUCCAGCUGUCUUCGAAGGUUUUUCCUUUUGUUGCAAUAGUUAGUAUUUUGUGUUUAUAUCCACAGUUUUUUUGUCAUGUGAACAUGAUUCGAGCUA